UUCGGGUUAGGUUUAGCGUUGCAAGAACAGAGUAAAACAAAUGUCAGAUUAAUUUACCUGACUCUACACAGAGGUUUUGGUGUUUUUGGUCAUUUGCUCUAGGGAUGUAUCCGGAUCCGAAUACUGUAUUCGGGAAAGCACGAAUAACAGAUAUUUCUUCUACCCGAAGCUGCUCGUUUAACAUCAGCAUGCCUUUGGAGCUGAGAUGCGCAAGCUCCAAGUCAUGUUUACAAAGGCCACAGCAGCCAUGUGAAAAACGCUGCCUUUCUCCAUGACGACAGUCACCUGAUCUCUACCGGAGGGACAGACAUGAGCAUCCUGCAGUGGUCGUCUAGUGAACUCUGCUGCACCUUCACUGGAGCCUCCUGUCCACUAGAGGGCAGGACUGCUGUGCCUAAAACUGUCUUUACCCUGCUCUCCUACUCCUGUCUGAGUGUUCUGUACUGUACUGUGCUGAGUAGCCACUAGAUGGGGCUCUGGCAAAAGAGAAAUAGCAUAUCAAGAAGAAUAUUUAAAGCUAUUUAAAGAGCUGUAGCUGCUAUGUGCCGUUUGCAGAAGUCUAUAGCGAUAAAGAUAUGUAACCGAGUGGCUGUUGUAUUUUAAUAUUUAAAGUACUUAAUCUAGUUGCACUUGAUGCGUAGAUAGAAGUAUGCUAAUGCUAGACUUGGCCUCUUUUGUUUUACUAAUAAAGUUUCUACUUGAGUUUGA